UACGUAGGGUGCGAGCGUUAUCCGGAAUGAUUGGGCGUAAAGCGUCCGCAGGUGGCUGUGUAAGUCUGCUGUUAAAGAGCAAAGCUUAACUUUGUAAGAGCAGUGGAAACUACACAGCUAGAGUGCGUUCGGGGCAGAGGGAAUUCCUGGUGUAGCGGUGAAAUGCGUAGAGAUCAGGAAGAACACCGGUGGCGAAGGCGCUCUGCUAGGCCGCAACUGACACUGAGGGACGAAAGCUAGGGGAGCGAAUGGG
rnacentral:rRNA from 1 species